rnacentral:snoRNA from 1 species
AGCGUGGGUGAUGAAAGCCUGACCUUAGGUAUGUCUUUUUGAACUGUUUUGGUUCAAAGCCUUGGGCUUACCAAUGAUAGGACUCGUCAUAGUUACACUGACACGCA